AGGAUAAACGCUGGCGGCGUGCCUAACACAUGCAAGUCGAACGUCCUACGCAAGUAGGGAGUGGCAGACGGGUGAGUAGCGCGUGGUCAACCUACCGUUGAGUGGGGGAUAACUAGCCGAAAGGUUAGCUAAUACCGCAUACGUCUCCGAGGGGCAUCCCUUGGUGAUAAAAGGAGCAAUCCGCUCGAUGACGGGACCGCGUCCCAUUAGCUAGUUGGUGGGGUAACGGCCUACCAAGGCAUCGAUGGGUAGCUGGUUUGAGAGAGCGACCAGCCACACUGGGACUGAGAUACGGCCCAGACUCCUACGGGAGGCAGCAGUGAGGAAUUUUCCGCAAUGGGCGAAAGCCUGACGGAGCGACGCCGCGUGUGGGAAGAAGGCCUUCGGGUCGUAAACCACUGUCGAAGGGAAGAUAAUGACGGUACCCUUGGAGGAAGCCCCGGCUAACUACGUGCCAGCAGCCGC
rnacentral:rRNA from 1 species